rnacentral:lncRNA from 1 species
UUAAUAAUUAUUGUUUAAUCUUUUUGUUGCGACAUAAAAUAAUUUAAAAUCCUUCUCUCAUUCCCAACAAAUUUUCACCUACCUUCAAAAGUUUUGGAUUAUCAUUUGAAUUUUUUUCCUUGAAGCACUUGCUGAAUAGACUUCUAUUCUACGCAAACUUGCAUGAAGAGCGUCUAUUUAUUAUAUUUGGAGGCGGAAGAAUUUAAGGAACCAUACAAACAAACUCCAGAAGAAGUGUUUCAAUAAGUUGCUGCGAUGGGUUCAUUUUUGUUCGAUUUUAUUCUAAUAUAGUCAUUAAGCAUUCAAACAAUACUCUUUGUAAUAAUCGGAG